rnacentral:rRNA from 1 species
UUGGAGGGCAAGUCUGGUGCCAGCAGCCGCGGUAAUUCCAGCUCCAAUAGCGUAUAUUAAAGUUGUUGCAGUUAAAAAGCUCGUAGUUGAAUUUCGGGGUCAGCAUGUUGGUCGUGCCACAGGUACGGUACUGGCUUUGCUGAUUCCUCCCUCUUGACGAACCGUAAUGCCAUUAAUUUGGUGUUGCGGGGAAUCAGGACUGUUACUUUGAAAAAAUUAGAGUGUUUAAAGCAGGC